rnacentral:rRNA from 1 species
UACGAAGGGGGCUAGCGUUGCUCGGAUUGACUGGGCGUAAAGGGCGCGUAGGCGGUUCGUACAGUCAGACGUGAAAUUCCUGGGCUCAACCUGGGGGCUGCGUUUGAUACGUGCGGACUUGAGUGCGGAAGAGGGUCGUGGAAUUCCCAGUGUAGAGGUGAAAUUCGUAGAUAUUGGGAAGAACACCGGUGGCGAAGGCGGCGACCUGGUCCGAUACUGACGCUGAGGUGCGAAAGCGUGGGGAGCGAACAGG